UACGUAGGGUGCAAGCGUUAUUCGGAAUUACUGGGCGUAAAGCGUGCGCAGGCGGUUAUGUAAGACAGAUGUGAAAUCCCCGGGCUUAACCUGGGAACUGCAUUUGUGACUGCAUAGCUGGAGUACGGUAGAGGGGGAUGGAAUUCCGCGUGUAGCAGUGAAAUGCGUAGAUAUGCGGAGGAACACCGAUGGCGAAGGCAGUCCCCUGGACCUGUACUGACGCUCAUGCACGAAAGCGUGGGGAGCAAACAGG
rnacentral:rRNA from 1 species